GGGCCCACAGCAGGCCAGGCACAACCCUGCCACUCCCCAGGGAAGGAGAUGACUUUUAUCAUCAGUACAUGUCACAAGAAAACAUUUAAAAUGACACUGAAACAAUCAUUGAAAUCAUGGUGCAUGGAGGAAAAAGGUAAAGAAAACAACUUUUGGCUUGUUUUGGCAUGAGACCUUGAUACAAUUUGGGUUCCCCAAAACCAUGUGAAGGGUGGUAAAAUAGAAAUGCUCAAAACUGACUUAAAAAAAUAAACAGGCUUUACAAAAACCCUCUUUUUUCUUAACCCAGCCACUUCUCGACAUGGUCUGCACAUACAGUAGAUACAUUCAUUAUUGUCCAAGGGAAGACAGUAACUGCCUUUCAUUUUAAAGAGCUUGGUGGAGAGGCUGAAGAAAUGUGCUGCAGCUGAAGGUGAGUAGAAUGUUCCAGAGAACACAAAAGUCUAGAUGGUCUUCAGGAACAGCACUGAGCAUGAUGUGGGGAGGGUCUCUGGGAAGAGAGGUGGAGGUGGAGGAGGGUGCGGAGUCCAGAUCUGAAGCCAUGGAGACUGAGGAUGGAGUUGGGUUGUCAGUGGUGAACGUGGGGGCAGGGAUCUCUCCGCCUGAGCAGUCCUGGGUUUGUCCUCAGCCUGGGAAAGUUGCUCUUUCAGCAAGAGGCGAACCCUGGGCUUUGGAGACGGGGCUGGGGCUCUUUUCAGGCAUAGCAGCAGUGGGGAGACUGGGGACAGGCUUGCAAUGGAUUCCACGGGAGGGGCUUCUCUCCUGGUUCUGACUGCUUAUUAGGUGGUUAUUAAGGCAAUAAGGACUUAAGCAAACUAGAAGUUAAGGGCAGCUAAGUUCAGCCAGAUCAAAGGUAAACAAAAGGUGAGAAGGAGUCCCUUUCUCCUCAGCUACCUUUCCCCCAAGCACAGGAGGCCUCAGCUCCUGAAGCUCUGAAUUUACAGUACACAGUAGCAGACGGCUUGCCCUUUGGAAGGCUCCAUGGAAAGAAGGCUCAUCCCUGACUUGGGGCAACUUGACCGAAGUUUCUACUCUCCAGAAUCUCUUUUCUGUGGUCACCCAACUGGCAAGUGGAAGAUGGAAGCACCAAGGUUCCUGCAAAAGAUAGAUCAAGACCUUUGCUAUCAACCUUUCAGCCCAUCCCAAUGGCCUUGAAUGGCAUGUGUCCUGGAAAACCAGGUCUGCUGCCUGUACACCCGAGCGAGACCUAUGCUCAGCUGGAGAAGAGGACAGCCUUUCAGGGUUCAUGAAUGUUCUCCCUAGAACAGAUGGAAUGGCAGCUACAAUGCCCUUGGGAAUGUGAGGUCCUGGUGGAGUCUCUGGGGAAGUGAAAGAAGCUCCUUUAACUUGACUCCACUCACAGGACAAAGUGCAGGAGACAGAACAGAAUGGAUAGAAGCUUCUCCUUUCUUCUUGCUCUAGAGUGAAGGAGAUGGACAGUUACCUUGAAAUGCUAUGGGAAGGAUGAGCAUGGAGAGCUGCCUGUUAUUCUGAGCCAACUUCUGGCAAGAUGCUGGGUGAAUUGACUGCCUGGAAUUGAAGAACUGGCUCUCAAGCAGUUGCUGCUAAAGAAUGCCAGCAAACAAACCACACACAACGGUGGUAAGCCAGGCGGAAAUCCCUCCACCCUCUGGCAUGAGAUGGCAGUCUAGAAAGGACUCUCCAUGAGAUGCCUGGGGCCUGAGGAGGCAGAGGCAUGGACACACUGUUCUACGAUGACUCAGGGCCACCCAUGAGUGGGACAUUCGUGGGGAUGAGAUGGGAGAAGGGAGAAGCAGCAGUUGUAAUGGCCAGCCAUGUGGGGACCAGUUCCCUGCCUGGCCUUUCUUUCUCUGGUGGAAGCCAUCUUGUUUUGAUCCUAAGAAAAAUGGGUGUCAUUUUAUCCAGGAAUCUAAGAAUUAUAAUAAUAAAUUAAUAAAGUGAAUGUGAUAAUCAAACUAUGAGGAUACGAACAACAUAAGAUUUAAUGAUCAUUGUCAAAACCAGUCGGUAGGGCUGUGGAACUUUAUCGUACAAUUCGACUUUGAUAUGUGUUGAAAUAUAUUUUCUAAGUUAUCCACAACCCAAAACAGGACCCCUUAGAGGUAAUCUAGAGGAAUCCCUCACGUUACAGACAGAGCCACUGGUUAAGGGUCUAGAGACACACAGGGAGUUACUGCAGAAUCAGUACUGGAACCCUGUGCUCUUUCUGCAGGGAUUCGGAUAUUUUGGUUGGAUUUGCAUUCUUACAUCAAUGUAUGUUCUCCAACUCUGCUCUUACAUAUUGAAAGGCAGGCAGCCAUUUUUAAACACCCUGCCUAUUAGCCUUAGGAACAUAAUAAUAAUGGCAAGCACCCUUUAUUGCUUCGCUGAGCUGCAGACACCCUUCUAGGGUGUGAACAGAGCUCAGUAAAGAUAGCAGCCUCAGGUCUGUGUGUUGCUUUGAGCCACGAGCUGGUCUGCAGGCAGCAGCCAUGGGCCGUGCCUGUGUUGGUAUGUUUAAGAACAUUGGGGAAUACAGGAAUUACAUGGACUAGGUUUAGAAAACAAAUAGUAACAUACAAAAAGGAAGGUUUGAUAUGGACUGCAAGGACAUAGAGCAGGUGCACAUGCGUGCACUACCAGAAUAGCUACACGGUGGGAAGGAAUUCCAGAACCACGUGAGAAAGAGUUGUUAGGACAAUGCAG
rnacentral:lncRNA from 1 species